CCUACGGGAGGCAGCAGUGGGGAAUUUUGGACAAUGGACGCAAGUCUGAUCCAGCCAUGCCGCGUGCGGGAAGAAGGCCUUCGGGUUGUAAACCGCUUUUGUCAGGGAAGAAAAGGUUCUGGUUAAUACCUGGGACUCAUGACGGUACCUGAAGAAUAAGCACCGGCUAACUACGUGCCAGCAGCCGCGGUAAUACGUAGGGUGCAAGCGUUAAUCGGAAUUACUGGGCGUAAAGCGUGCGCAGGCGGUUAUGCAAGACAGAGGUGAAAUCCCCGGGCUCAACCUGGGAACUGCCUUUGUGACUGCAUAGCUAGAGUACGGUAGAGGGGGAUGGAAUUCCGCGUGUAGCAGUGAAAUGCGUAGAUAUGCGGAGGAACACCGAUGGCGAAGGCAAUCCCCUGGACCUGUACUGACGCUCAUGCACGAAAGCGUGGGGAGCAAACAGGAUUAGAUACCCUGGUAGUCCACGCCCUAAACGAUGUCAACUGGUUGUUGGGAGGGUUUCUUCUCAGUAACGUAGCUAACGCGUGAAGUUGACCGCCUGGGGNGGUACGGCGCGAGUAGAACGACAAUAGAGUAGUACGCGUGAGAGUGCGACGGACGACGACGAGGGAGGAGG
rnacentral:rRNA from 1 species